UUAUAGAGAUUCCAAUUUCGGUGUCCACACGUUUAUUGGAGCCCGGCUGACACUAUCAUGUAAUUAAGUAGUGUCUGUGGCUGUUUUCAUUUCACAUACAUCGGUGGGCAGUCUCAUGCAGAAACUAAAAAUCACAAAGCUACAAACAUUCACUUUCUGUCGCUUUACAGAAAAAGUUUGCUCAUCCCUUCUCUGGAUACUAAAUAUCUUGGUGGAUUUUUUUUCCCCUUUUUUUCUUGCUUGCUUCUAUUUUCUUUUUCUUCCCCCCACCCGCCCCCGAUCAUAAUUAUCCUGAUAAUUUGCAGGUGGAGACUCAGACCAAAUGACCAAAUGGGUUUUCUUUGGGAAGCAGAGUGCGGGAGGGGAUUAACAGGAAUGCAGGGGCGUUCAUGUGAAAGAUUCCUCUUAGAUGAAUUUAGGGAACAAAGACCCCCGUGGUCAGUUAUUUCUGUGGGUACGAAAGCAGGAGAGAGUCUGGGUCUUCUGUCAGUUCCGCAGCACAAAUCAUACAGUUACUGAAUACUUCCAUUUGCAGUAGUACGCUUUUAAUGCUUAACUCCAUGACCUCACAAAAAUAAUUUCUGGGAAGCAAAUUUACUUAGCUCUUUGCCUUUAUUUGCUGACCGAGGGGUUUGGUCCGAUGGUUAUAUUGUUUAUGGAAAUGCUGGAGGGGGGAGGCUGUGGGGAGGAGAAACAAUACAAUUUGGUCAGAGAAGUUGGAUGGUUUGAAAGGACUGAGAGGAUUUUGUCUUUGCUUUAUAAUUGGAGUCAGGAUUUCCCUUCAAAUCACUCACUGCAGACUCAAAAUCUCCCUGGGCUUCUUGGCCCACGAGUCCUGUUAAGCUCUUUGUCACCAGCUACCCAGGAACGCAGGAAAAAUUAAACAUGCGCAUUAAUGAAGAUUUCCAGCAUUUGUGAUGAGCAUGGCUUGCUUAUCUGCCCUCCCUACGUUCACAGUCCUUUUCAUAAUCCUCUACCCUGGAAGUCUUCCAGAAAAUGGGAGAGAAGCAGAGUGCCUCCCUGAGAGUAAAAAGUUAAUAAGUGAGAACUGCCUGGCCUGCGCAAUGCGGAGCAUCUUUCCACGUGCCUGAUGGCCACCCGUGUCUUCUUUGGAGGAAUGUUCUGCACUGCUGACUGCCUGUGGGCAAAAUCCAGCAACCACGAGGCUCACGGGUGUGUUUCCUUCUUCUCAGACAACUUGUCAUGAUCUUUUCCUAUCGUCCAGUGUCUGAAAAGGUAGACUGAAUAUUCAGUGCAGUUUUGUUUUUUAAUUAUAUAAUAAAUGAGGGUAGAUCUAGUGUGUUACCCAUCAUGACCAGAAGUGGAAAUCUGUAUAUACACAGUCUAUUUGAAUAUCCUCAAAUAGUGAGUGGCUUGAGAAGCAUUGUGUUAUAAUACUGGAUGCAUAUACAACAUUUCAUGAA